CUUUUCAACUCCGAGCGCCCUUCGCACCAGUCUUUGCCAUCCCCGCCGGCUCUCCACCGUCUUCAGUCCCCCGAGCCUCUCUGAGGGGUUCUCCCACCGGGGCCCCCACCCCGGAGGCCAACCUCGAGAGGAUGCCAUGGAUCAAGAGGAGUGUGAGGAAAAAAAUAGUGGCCUGCGAGUUCUCCGACUGUCAAACUGUCACCGAGGGUUCCCGUCACCUUAAAGGGGGCUCGAGGGAGAAUUCCUUCAACAAUAGGGGUUUAAUAACGGGGACAACUGGUGAGGGCGUUCCGUCCGAGAAUUUCGGAGUAGCUGAACGGAGCGACACCGGUCA
rnacentral:lncRNA from 1 species